UCGUAAGGAGAAGGCUUCAUUGGAAGGAGAGUUCAUCCAUAGCAGCUAUCCGUGAGUUGGG
rnacentral:rRNA from 1 species